rnacentral:rRNA from 1 species
UACGUAGGGUGCAAGCGUUGUCCGGAAUUAUUGGGCGUAAAGAGCUCGUAGGCGGUUUGUCGCGUCUGCUGUGAAAACCCGAGGCUCAACCUCGGGCCUGCAGUGGGUACGGGCAAACUAGAGUGCGGUAGGGGAGAAUGGAAUUCCUGGUGUAGCGGUGGAAUGCGCAGAUAUCAGGAGGAACACCGGUGGCGAAGGCGGAUCUCUGGGCCAUUACUGACGCUGAGGAGCGAAAGCGUGGGGAGCGAACAGG